CCAUGGCAGAUGUAAUACUCACAGUAGUUAUGGCUUCGAGUAUAGCCAUCUUCUAUGCAGGGAGGCCAUUUUACCGUUACAGGAAGACGACUGGAAGUCCAUUUAUACCCAUGCUAAACGUGCUUGUAGCUGCAAUUAGAAAAAGAAACCUUCAACUUCCUUCAAAUCCUUCUCAUCUACACGAUGUUCCGAAGUCAGAGACUACCCAAAGAAGGCUCUUAGGCCACACCAAAAGGCUGAAGUAAGAUUCGAACAUAGUCAUUAUCAGGUCAUUCAAUUACUCAGGAGAGUUGGAAUAUGGUAUUGAAAACAAUUUUUGAUUCUACUUGACAGGUUCCUUGAUAAAGCUGCAAUCCUAGAUGUCACACAAGAUUCAAUAGAACAGCAACAGAAUCCAUGGAAACUUGCAACUGUCACCAAGGUGGAAGAACUGAAGCUAAUUAUCAACAUGAUUCCUAUUUGGCUAACCACUUUACCAUUUGGUAUAUGUGUAGCACAAGCCGCAACUUUUUUCAUAAAACAAGGUGUGACAAUGAAUCGGAAGAUCAUUCACAAUUUCGAGAUCCCCCCAGCCUCAAUUUAUGCCCUGACAGCUGUUGGCAUGAUAAUAGCCGUCACUAUCUAUGACAAAAUCCUUGUGCCUUUCCUGAGAAGGACAACAGGAAAUGAGAGAGGCAUAAGUAUUCUCCAAAGGAUCGGUAUUGGAAUGAUCUUCUCGAUUUCUACUAUGGUAGUUGCAGCUUUGGUUGAGAGAAAGAGACUGAAUGUUGUUCAUAGAAAUCCAUUAGAGGGUUCGGCUUCAAUGAGUGUGUUUUGGCUAGCCCCACAAUUCCUUAUCCUUGGAAUAGGAGAUGGAUUUUCCCUUGUGGGAUUGCAAGAAUACUUCUACGAUCAAGUACCUGACUCCAUGAGAAGCUUGGGCAUUGCAUUAUAUCUUAGUGUAAUUGGUGCUGCAAAUUUCAUUAGCAGCCUCUUGAUAACCAUUGUGGAUCAUAUCACAGAGGAAAGUGGCAAGAGUUGGUUCGGAAAGGAUACACAAGCCUUCUCUUGAGAGCUUUGGAGCUGAUCAGUUUGAUGAUGAAAAUCCCAAAGAAAGAAGGAAAAAGAUGUCUUUUUUCAACUGGUGGAACUUUGGGCUAUGCUGUGGACUAUUACUUGGUGUGACGCUUAUCGUUUAUGUCCAAGAGCAUGUUAGCUGGGCCAUGGCAGAUGUAAUACUCACAGUAGUUAUGGCUUCGAGUAUAGCCAUCUUCUAUGCAGGGAGGCCAUUUUACCGUUACAGGAAGACGACUGGAAGUCCAUUUAUACCCAUGCUAAACGUGCUUGUAGCUGCAAUUAGAAAAAGAAACCUUCAACUUCCUUCAAAUCCUUCUCAUCUACACGAUGUUCCGAAGUCAGAGACUACCCAAAGAAGGCUCUUAGGCCACACCAAAAGGCUGAAGUAAGAUUCGAACAUAGUCAUUAUCAGGUCAUUCAAUUACUCAGGAGAGUUGGAAUAUGG
rnacentral:lncRNA from 1 species